rnacentral:rRNA from 1 species
CAAUCACUUGUCUUUUAAAUGAAGACCCGUAUGAAUGGCAUAACGAGGGCUUAGCUGUCUCUUUUCUCCGGUCAAUGAAAUUGAUCUCCCCGUGCAGAAGCGGGGAUUCUCUCAUAAGACGAGAAGACCCUAUGGAGCUUUAGACACAAAGCAACCCAAAUUACGACCCUAAAAUUAAAAUAGGGUAAUUCAAUGACCCCCCGCUCAACUGUCUUUGGUUGGGGCGACCCUGGGGAAAAACAAAACCCCCACGUGGAACAGAAGGACCCCUUCUACAACCAAGAGCCCCCGCUCUAAGUAACAGAACCUCUGACCAUUAAUGAUCCGGUAUAACCGAUCAACGAACCGAGUUACCCUAGGGAUAACAGCGCAAUCCCCUCCCAGAGCCCA